UACGAGGGGAGCAAGCGUUGUUCGGAUUUACUGGGCGUAAAGGGCGCGUAGGCGGCCACUACAAGUCACUUGUGAAAUCUCCGGGCUUAACUCGGUAGCGGUCAAGUGAUACUGUUGGGCUAGAGUGCGGAAGGGGCAACUGGAAUUCUCGGUGUAGCGGUGAAAUUCGUAGAUAUCGAGAGGAACACCGGUGGCGAAGGCGGCCAACUGGACGAGUACUGACGCUGAGACACGAAAGCGUGGGGAGCAAACAGG
rnacentral:rRNA from 1 species